GACGUAGGAGGCGAGCGUUGUCCGGAUUCAUUGGGCGUAAAGAGCGCGCAGGCGGCUUGGUAAGUCGGAUGUGAAAUCCCGAGGCUCAACCUCGGGUCUGCAUCCGAUACUGCCCCGGCUAGAGGUAGGUAGGGGGAGAUCGGAAUUCCUGGUGUAGCGGUGAAAAUGCGCAGAUAUCAGGAGGAACACCAAUGGCGAAAGGCAGCACUCUGGGGACGUGACUGACGCUGAGACGCGAAAAAGCGUGGGGGGAGCAAAACAGG
rnacentral:rRNA from 1 species